UCUAAGUAUUUCAUGAUUUAUUUGAUUUUCUCUAUUAUCUGACAUGAUGUAUGAUUUUCUGUGUUAAUGUAUCAUUUUCUUAACAAAUAAAUGAUUUUUCAUAAUGUGAGAUAGGUAAAUGAGGAAGUUAAUGGUAAGAUAAAAUAAUUAACUUUUGAAAUCUUACAAUGUUAAUUUAAUACUAUUUUCCUUACAGAGCAUAUAGAACUCACUAUUUCCAUACCCCCCAGAUGAGGAAGAAAGUGAGGAAUCGCAGGCUGACUUACCCUUGGAAGUCUAUGAGGAUCCCGAGGAUCCACAAGUCUGAGUGCAUGACUGUUCCCGCACUCUGAUAGUAUAGUGAAAAAAGUGGCCCUUAUGUUUUGUUUUAUAUUUUGCAACCACUUCUGGCAUGUAUGUAUUAGAACUCACAUAUAUUUGUAAGGAAUUUGUAAUGAUUUUGUUCUGCUGUAUAAAUUUUAUCACGCACUCAUUAUUCUGAAUCUGUAUUUGACACCCAUUUGCCUUAAUUAACACUUGGAAUGUCACAAUUUUACUAAUUUUCCUAAAUAAAAUAAAGAAUUUGAU
rnacentral:lncRNA from 1 species